rnacentral:rRNA from 1 species
AGUCACUGACAUUAGAUACCCCCGUAGUCCAGGGUGUAAACGCUGCAGACUUGGUGUUGGAAAUCCUUCGAGGGUAUUCAGUGCCGGAGAGAAGUUGUUAAGUCUGCUACUUGGGAGUACGUCCGCAAGGAUGAAACUUAAAGGAAUUGGCGGGGGAGCACCGCAACGGGAGGAGCGUGCGGUUUAAUUGGAUUCAACACCGGAAAACUCACCAGGGGAGACUGUUACAUGAAACCCAGACUAAUGAUCUUGGUUGGUUUUUCAG